UGGGUUGUGGCUCAGUGGUAGGGUGCGUACUUAGUAUGUUUGAGGCACUGGGUUUGAUUCUCAGCACCACAU
rnacentral:tRNA from 1 species